GCCAUACCUUGCUGAAAACACCGGUUCUCGUCCGAUCACCGAAGUUAAGCAUCAUUGGGCGCGGUCAGUACUUGGGAGGUGACCACCUGGAAACACAGCGUGCUGUUG
rnacentral:rRNA from 1 species